rnacentral:rRNA from 1 species
UACGUAGGCAGCAAGCGUUGUUCGGAGUUACUGGGCGUAAAGGGUGUGUAGGCGGUUGGAUAAGUGUGGUGUGAAAAUCUCCCGGCUUAACUGGGAGGGUGCGCUACAAACUGUCUGACUAGAGUGUGGGAUGGGUAAGUGGAAUUCCUGGUGUAGCGGUGAAAUGCGUAGAUAUCAGGAGGAACACCAAAUGGCGAAGGCAGCUCGCUGGGGACGUGACUGACGCUGAGACGCGAAAAGCGUGGGGGAGCAAACAGG